rnacentral:rRNA from 1 species
AGAGUUUGAUCAUGGCUCAGGAUGAACGCUAGCUACAGGCUUAACACAUGCAAGUCGAGGGGCAUCAGUUUGGUUUGCUUGCAAACCAAAGCUGGCGACCGGCGCACAGGUGAGUAACACGUAUCCAACCUGCCUCAUACUCGGGGAUAGCCUUUCGAAAGAAAGAUUAAUAUCCGAUAGCAUAUAUUUCCCGCAUGGGUUUUAUAUUAAAGAAAUUCGGUAUGAGAUGGGGAUGCGUUCCAUUAGUUUGUUGGUGGGGUAACGGCCUACCAAGUCGACGAUCAGUAGCCGGACUGAGAGGUUGAACGGCCACAUUGGGACUGAGAUACGGCCCAGACUCCUACGGGAGGCAGCAGUCGGGAAUAUUGCGCAAUGGAGGAAACUCUGACGCAGUGACGCCGCGUAUAGGAAGAAGGUUUUCGGAUUGUAAACUAUUGUCGUUAGGGAAGAUACAAGACAGUACCUAAGGAGGAAGCUCCGGCUAACUACGUGCCAGCAGCCGCGGUAAUACGUAGGGAGCAAGCGUUAUCCGGAUUUAUUGGGUGUAAAGGGUGCG